rnacentral:rRNA from 1 species
GAUGAACGCUAGCGAUAGGCUUAACACAUGCAAGUCGAGGGGCAGCAUGGUCUUAGCUUGCUAAGACUGAUGGCGACCGGCGCACGGGUGCGUAACGCGUAUGCAACUUGCCUCACAGAGGGGGAUAACCCGUCGAAAGACGGACUAAUACCGCGUACACUUGGGAUAGGGCAUCCUGACCCAAGGAAAUGAAAUUCGCUGUGAGAUAGGCAUGCGUCCCAUUAGCUAGUUGGUGAGGUAACGGCUCACCAAGGCGACGAUGGGUAGGGGAACUGAGAGGUUGAACCCCCACACUGGUACUGAGACACGGACCAGACUCCUACGGGAGGCAGCAGUGAGGAAUAUUGGUCAAUGGGCGAGAGCCUGAACCAGCCAAGUCGCGUGAAGGAUGACUGUCUUAUGGAUUGUAAACUUCUUUUAUACGGGAAUAACAAGAGCCACGUGUGGCUCCCUGCAUGUACAGUAUGAAUAAGCAUCGGCUAACUCCGUG